rnacentral:rRNA from 1 species
UACGUAGGGGGCUAGCGUUGUCCGGAUUUAUUGGGCGUAAAGCGCGUGUAGGCGCCAGGUAGGUCCGUUGUGAACACUCGAGGCUCAACCUCGAGAUGUCGACGGAAACCAUCUGGCUAGAGUCCGGAAGAGGAGAGUGGAAUUCCCGGUGUAGCGGUGAAAUGCGCAGAUAUCGUAAGGAAGACCAGUGGCGAAGGCGGGUCUCUGGACAGUUCCUGACACUGAGACACGAAGGCCAGGGGAGCAAACGGG